rnacentral:lncRNA from 1 species
CCCACAUACAUUUCAAGUUUCAACAUUUUCAAGUUUUCACAAAUCACAAACAUAUUUAUAUCUUACACUACCUUUUUGAUGAAGGAGCCAAUCUCUGGCGCGAUUAGCAAGGGCGGUCUGGCGAAGGAGGGUUCAUGGUUGUAUUGUAUACUUGUAUUUGAUAUUGAUUCAAUUGAAUGAUUCAUCGAUUUAUGGCCUUGAAAAGAAAAGGUCGAGGCCCAGCGGCUGGAGAAGAAAUGAAGAAUGUAGUCCGAAGAUAAGAAAUCACAGGGAAAAAAGUGAGAAGUUGGUUGGGACUUGGGUCUUGCGAUUUGGGUAAAGUAAAUUAUAACAAUGGAUUAUGGAUUGGAGAUAUGGAAAUUAUGCUUCAGUUAG